UACGAAGGGGGCUAGCGUUGUUCGGAAUUACUGGGCGUAAAGCGCACGUAGGCGGCUUGGCAAGUCGGAUGUGAAAUCCCUCGGCUCAACCAAGGAAGUGCAUCCGAAACUGCCGAGCUUGAGUACUUAAGAGGAUCGCGGAAUUCCCGGUGUAGAGGUGAAAUUCGUAGAUAUCGGGAGGAACACCAGUGGCGAAGGCGGCGAUCUGGGAAGAUACUGACGCUGAGGUGCGAAAGCGUGGGGAGCAAACAGG
rnacentral:rRNA from 1 species